AACGCUGGCGGCGUGCUUAACACAUGCAAGCCGAACGAGGUAAUUGAAAGCUUGCUUUGAGAACUGAGUGGCAAACGGGUGAGUAACGCGUAGACAACCUGCCGUAAAGAUGGGGACAACAGUCCGAAAGGACUGCUAAUACCGAAUGUUGUCAUUCUUCCGCAUGGAGGGAUGAUUAAAGAUGGCCUCUACUUGUAAGCUAUCGCUUUGCGAUGGGUCUGCGUCUGAUUAGCUAGUUGGUGGGGUAACGGCCUACCAAGGCGACGAUCAGUAGCCGGUCUGAGAGGAUGAACGGCCACAUUGGAACUGAGACACGGUCCAGACUCCUACGGGAGGCAGCAGUGGGGAAUCUUCCGCAAUGGGCGAAAGCCUGACGGAGCAACGCCGCGUGAGUGAAAGAAGGGUUUCGGCUCGUAAAGCUCUGUUGACGGGGACGAGUGUGCGAGAUGCGAAUAGUUUCUUGCAAUGACGGUACCCGUCGAGGAAGCCACGGCUAACUACGUGCCAGCCGCCGC
rnacentral:rRNA from 1 species